rnacentral:rRNA from 1 species
GACGAACGCUGGCGGCGUGCUUAACACAUGCAAGUCGAACGAUGAAGCCGGAGCUUGCUCUGGUGAAUUAGUGGCGAACGGGUGAGUAACACGUGAGUAACCUGCCCUUGACUCUGGGAUAACUGCGGGAAACUGUAGCUAAUACCGGAUACGACCCUCGGAGGCGUCUCCUGGGGGUGGAAAGAAUUUCGGUCGAGGAUGGACUCGCGGCCUAUCAGCCAGUUGGUGAGGUAAAGGCUCACCAAGGCGACGACGGGUAGCCGGCCUGGGAGGGUGACCGGCCACACUGGGACUGAGACACGGCACAGACUCCUACGGGAGGCAGCAGUGGGGAAUAUUGCACAAUGGGCGCAAGCCUGAUGCAGCAACGCCGCGUGAGGGAUGACGGCCUUCGGGUUGUAAACCUCUUUUAGCAGGGAAGAAGCGAAAGUGGCGGUACCUGCAGAAAAAGCACCGGCUAACUACGUGCCAGCCGCCGCGGUAA